GUGAGCGUAGCUCAGUUGGUUAGAGCACCUGGUUGUGGUCCAGGAAGUCGCGGGUUCGAGUCCCGUCGCCCGCCCCA
rnacentral:tRNA from 1 species